AUACGGAGGGUGCAAGCGUUAAUCGGAAUUACUGGGCGUAAAGCGCGCGUAGGCGGUCUAUUAAGUCAGAUGUGAAAUCCCAGGGCUCAACCUUGGAACUGCAUCUGAUACUGGUAGACUAGAGUUUUGGAGAGGGAAGUAGAAUUUCAGGUGUAGCGGUGAAAUGCAUAGAGAUCUGAAGGAAUACCAGUGGCGAAGGCGACUUCCUGGCCAAAAACUGACGCUGAGGUGCGAAAGCGUGGGUAGCAAACGGGAUUAGAAACCCCAGUAGUCC
rnacentral:rRNA from 1 species